rnacentral:rRNA from 1 species
CAGGCCUAACACAUGCAAGUCGAACGCGAAAGCGGCCUUCGGGCCGCGAGUAGAGUGGCAGACGGGUGAGUAACGCGUGGGUGACCUACCUUCGAGUGGGGGACAACCUUCCGAAAGGGAGGCUAAUACCGCAUAACAUCCCGCCCUUGGAUGGGCGGUGAUCAAAGCCGGGGAUCUUCGGACCCGGCGCUUGUAGACGGACCCGCGUCCGAUUAGCUUGUUGGUGGGGUAGCGGCCUACCAAGGCGACGAUCGGUAGCCGGCCUUAGAGGGCGGACGGCCACACUGGGACUGAGAUACGGCCCAGACUUCUACGGGAGGCAGCAGUAGGGAAUUGUUCGCAAUGGGCGAAAGCCUGACGACGCAACGCCGCGUGGAGGAUGAAGACCUUCGGGUUGUAAACUCCUGUCGAGCGGGAAGAAUUGUCCGCGGGUCAAUACCCCGUGGGCUUGACGGUACCGCUAAAGGAAGCCCCGGCUAACUCCGUGCCAGCAGCCGCGGUAAUACGGGGGGG